CGGGCGUACCAUGCAAGUCGAACGAUUCUUAAGUAGCUUGCUAUUUAAGAAGAGUGGCGAACGGGUGAGUAACACGUGAGUAAUCUGCCCUCGAGUGGGGAACAACCUCGCGAAAGCGGGGCUAAUACCGCAUAAUACCCUGGGACACAAGUCCCCUGGUCAAAGCCUUCGGGCGCUUGAGGAUGAGCUUGCGCGCUAUUAGCUAGUUGGUGGGGUAACGGCCUACCAAGGUGACGAUGGCUAGCCGGCCUGAGAGGGUGUACGGCCACACUGGAACUUAGACACGGUCCAGACUCCUACGGGAGGCAGCAGUGGGGAAUUUUGCGCAAUGGGCGAAAGCCUGACGCAGCGACGCCGCGUGGAGGAUGAAGGCCUUCGGGUUGUAAACUCCUGUCAGAGGUGAAGAAGCCUUCGGGUUGACGGUAACCUCAGAGGAAGCCCCGGCUAACUACGUGCCAGCAGCCGCGGUAAUACGUAGGGGGCGAACGUUGCUCGGAAUUACUGGGCGUAAAGGGUG
rnacentral:rRNA from 1 species